UACAGAGGGGGCAAGCGUUGUUCGGAAUUACUGGGCGUAAAGGGCGCGUAGGCGGCCUUCUAAGUCGAACGUGAAAUCCCCGGGCUCAACCCGGGAACUGCGUCCGAUACUGGAAGGCUUGAAUCCGGGAGAGGGAUGCGGAAUUCCAGGUGUAGGCGGUGAAAUGCGUAGAUAUCUGGAGGAACACCGGUGGCGAAGGCGGCAUCCUGGACCGG
rnacentral:rRNA from 1 species